UACAGGGGGUGCAAACGUUGCUCGGAAUUAUUGGGCGUAAAGCGCGCGUAGGCGGCCACUUAAGUCGGAUGUGAAAGCCCCUGGCUCAACUGGGGAAGUGCACCCGAAACUGAGCGGCUUGAAUGCAAAAGAGGGUCGCGGAAUUCCCGGUGUAGAGGUGAAAUUCGUAGAUAUCAGGAGGAACACCGGUGGCGAAGGCGGGUCUCUGGGCCGUAACUGACGCUGAGGAGCGAAAGCGUGGGGAGCGAACAGG
rnacentral:rRNA from 1 species